rnacentral:rRNA from 1 species
CGCGGCCUAUCAGCUUGUUGGUGAGGUAAUGGCUCACCAAGGCGACGACGGGUAGCCGGCCUGAGAGGGCGACCGGCCACACUGGGACUGAGACACGGCCCAGACUCCUACGGGAGGCAGCAGUGGGGAAUAUUGCACAAUGGGCGAAAGCCUGAUGCAGCGACGCCGCGUGAGGGAUGACGGCCUUCGGGUUGUAAACCUCUUUCAGCUCCGAAGAAGCGAAAGUGACGGUAGGAGCAGAAGAAGCACCGGCUAACUACGUGCCAGCAGCCGCGGUAAUACGUAGGGUGCAAGCGUUGUCCGGAAUUAUUGGGCGUAAAGAGCUCGUAGGCGGUUUGGUAAGUCGGGUGUGAAAACUCUGGGCUCAACCCAGAGAGGCCACCCGAUACUGCUAUGACUAGAGUACGGUAGGGGAGCGGGGAAUUCAUGGUGUAGCGGUGAAAUGCGCAGAUAUCAUGAGGAACACCAGCGGCGAAGGCGCCGCUCUGGGCCGUAACUGACGCUGAGGAGCGAAAGCAUGGGUAGCAAACAGGAUUAGAUACCCUGGUAGUCCAUGCCGUAAACGUUGGGCACUAGGUGUGGGUCUCAACCAACGAGAUCCGCGCCGUCGCUAACGCAUUAAGUGCCCCGCCUGGGGAGUACGG